ACAGGAACAGCUUGCUGCUUCGCUGACAAGUGGCGGACGGGUGAGUAAUGUCUGGGAAACUGCCUGAUGGAGGGGGAUAACUACUGGAAACGGUAGCUAAUACCGCAUAACGUCGCAAGACCAAAGAGGGGGACCUUCGGGCCUCUUGCCAUCGGAUGUGCCCAGAUGGGAUUAGCUAGUAGGUGGGGUAACGGCUCACCUAGGCGACGAUCCCUAGCUGGUCUGAGAGGAUGACCAGCCACACUGGAACUGAGACACGGUCCAGACUCCUACGGGAGGCAGCAGUGGGGAAUAUUGCACAAUGGGCGCAAGCCUGAUGCAGCCAUGCCGCGUGUAUGAAGAAGGCCUUCGGGUUGUAAAGUACUUUCAGCGGGGAGGAAGGGAGUAAAGUUAAUACCUUUGCUCAUUGACGUUACCCGCAGAAGAAGCACCGGCUAACUCCGUGCCAGCAGCCGCGGUAAUACGGAGGGUGCAAGCGUUAAUCGGAAUUACUGGGCGUAAAGCGCACGCAGGCGGUUUGUUAAGUCAGAUGUGAAAUCCCCGGGCUCAACCUGGGAACUGCAUCUGAUACUGGCAAGCUUGAGUCUCGUAGAGGGGGGUAGAAUUCCAUGUGUAG
rnacentral:rRNA from 1 species